AAGACCUCUUAAUUUCCUUUCAUCAUUUCUCCAAACCACCACUUCCUUUUCGAUUUCUGUUUCUACUUCAAGCCAACCCUUUCCUUUGCUUUCGCAUGGCCUAAAACUUCUCUGGGUUAUUUCACCUUAACGUGGAUAACGUCGAAGUGUUCCAUAAAACAAUACGUUCAUUGUUCUUGAGUGUAGUUGAGUUUUGCAGUGAAGGGUUCCUUCUUUUUUUUUUUUU
rnacentral:lncRNA from 1 species